rnacentral:rRNA from 1 species
UGCAGUCGAGCGGACAGAUGGGAGCUUGCUCCCUGAUGUUAGCGGCGGACGGGUGAGUAACACGUGGGUAACCUGCCUGUAAGACUGGGAUAACUCCGGGAAACCGGGGCUAAUACCGGAUGCUUGUUUGAACCGCAGGGUUCAAACAUAAAAGGUGGCUUCGGCUACCACUUACAGAUGGACCCGCGGCGCAUUAGCUAGUUGGUGAGGUAACGGCUCACCAAGGCAACGAUGCGUAGCCGACCUGAGAGGGUGAUCGGCCACACUGGGACUGAGACACGGCCCAGACUCCUACGGGAGGCAGCAGUAGGGAAUCUUCCGCAAUGGACGAAAGUCUGACGGAGCAACGCCGCGUGAGUGAUGAAGGUUUUCGGAUCGUAAAGCUCUGUUGUUAGGGAAGAACAAGUACCGUUCGAAUAGGGCGGUACCUUGACGGUACCUAACCAGAAAGCCACGGCUAACUACGUGCCAGCAGCCGCGGUAAUACGUAGGUGGCAAGCGUUGUCCGGAAUUAUUGGGCGUAAAGGGCUCGCAGGCGGUUCCUUAAGUCUGAUGUGAAAGCCCCCGGCUCAACCGGGGAGGGUCAUUGGAAACUGGGGAACUUGAGUGCAGAAGAGGAGAGUGGAAUUCCACGUGUAGCGGUGAAAUGCGUAGAGAUGUGGAGGAACACCAGUGGCGAAGGCGACUCUCUGGUCUGUAACUGACGCUGAGGAGCGAAAGCGUGGGGAGCGAACAGGAUUAGAUACCCUGGUAGUCCACGCCGUAAACGAUGAGUG